UGGGGAAUAUUGGACAAUGGGCGAAAGCCUGAUCCAGCCAUGCCGCGUGUGUGAAGAAGGUCUUCGGAUUGUAAAGCACUUUAAGUUGGGAGGAAGGGUUGUAGAUUAAUACUCUGCAAUUUUGACGUUACCGACAGAAUAAGCACCGGCUAACUCUGUGCCAGCAGCCGCGGUAAUACAGAGGGUGCAAGCGUUAAUCGGAAUUACUAGGCGUAAAGCGCGCGUAGGUGGUGAGUUAAGUUGGAUGUGAAAUCCCCGGGCUCAACCUGGGAACUGCAUUCAAAACUGACUGACUAGAGUAUGGUAGAGGGUGGUGGAAUUUCCUGUGUAGCGGUGAAAUGCGUAGAUAUAGGAAGGAACACCAGUGGCGAAGGCGACCACCUGGACUGAUACUGACACUGAGGUGCGAAAGCGUGGGGAGCAAACA
rnacentral:rRNA from 1 species